AUUGAACGCUGGCGGCAGGCCUAACACAUGCAAGUCGAGCGGAGCGGCGGACGGGUGCGUAAUGCCUAGGAAUCUGCCUGGUCGUGGGGGAUAGCGUUCGGAAAUGGGCGCUAAUACCGCUACCUCUUGGCUGAGCCUAGGUCGGAUUAGCUAGUUGGUGGGGUAAAGGCCUACCAAGGCGACGAUCCGUAACCGGUCUGAGAGGAUGAUCAGCCACACUGGAACUGAGACACGGUCCAGACUCCUACGGGAGGCAGCAGUGGGGAAUAUUGGACAAUGGGCGAAAGCCUGAUCCAGCCAUGCCGCGUGUGUGAAGAAGGUCUUCGGAUUGUAAAGCACUUUAAGUUGGGAGGCGUUACCAGCAGAAUAAGCACCGGCUAACUCCGUGCCAGCCGCCGCGGUAAUAC
rnacentral:rRNA from 1 species